UGGCGCCCAACGUGGGGCCCGAGAACGGGGGAUCCAGUGAAGGACGCUGCUCAGGGGCCCUAAGAUUAAGAUUGAGGAACAAAGAGCACGCUCGACACAGGAGAGGCUUGCAAUUUACGUAGACCUGCCGUCUUUUUCGCACCUCGGUAAGUUGAGCAGCGAUUAUGGGACAGGGCAUUAGUCAGCACGAAUUGUUUGUGCAAGGUCUCAAGAAGACAUUACAGGCACGAGGGGUAAAGGUUACAGUCAAACAAUUGCUGAAAUUUUUUGAUUAUAUUAAAGAUCUCUGUCCCU
rfam:Heterocephalus glaber contig229530, whole genome shotgun sequence.